UGCAGUCGAGCGGCAGCACGGGUACUUGUACCUGGUGGCGAGCGGCGGACGGGUGAGUAAUGCCUAGGAAUCUGCCUGGUAGUGGGGGAUAACGCUCGGAAACGGACGCUAAUACCGCAUACGUCCUACGGGAGAAAGCAGGGGACCUUCGGGCCUUGCGCUAUCAGAUGAGCCUAGGUCGGAUUAGCUAGUUGGUGAGGUAAUGGCUCACCAAGGCGACGAUCCGUAACUGGUCUGAGAGGAUGAUCAGUCACACUGGAACUGAGACACGGUCCAGACUCCUACGGGAGGCAGCAGUGGGGAAUAUUGGACAAUGGGCGAAAGCCUGAUCCAGCCAUGCCCCGUGUGUGAAGAAUGUCUUCGGAUUGUGAAAU
rnacentral:rRNA from 1 species